GUGUUUUUUAUCAAGGGCGUACGGUGGAUGCCUUGGCAUGCUGAGCCGAUGAAGGACGUGUGAGGCUGCGUUAUGCCUCGGGGAGUUGCCAACUAAGCGUUGAUCCGAGGAUGUCCGAAUGGGGAAACCCAGCACCAGUUGUGUGGUGUUACCCGCAGGUGAAUUCAUAGCUUGUGUGGGGGUGUACGCGGGGAAGUGAAACAUCUCAGUACCCGCAGGAGAGGAAAAUAAUAAUGAUUCUGCUAGUAGCGGCGAGCG
rnacentral:rRNA from 1 species